UCCGCCAGUCGACGGAGAGGAAAAAAUAGAUCCGUGAACGAGGCGGAAGAACACCUAAGGUGGGUUAACAGCACUUCUUAAAUGGGGUGACCAAAAUACUUGUCAGUUGCGAAGUACACCUGCACAAAGCCAAGAUAAAGGUCAUUUGUGGGAAUAAAACUCUUGAGUGGGAAAAUGGAGAGAGGAAGGACCAAGCCUGUGCUGCACUCAGAGAGCUCUGCCAACUAUGAAACCAUGCACGACUUCUGCAGAAAAGCAACCAAAAAAGUGCUAAUGGUCUCAAAGAAUGCAGACAAAAGUCAGCAAAACAGGAGGGGGGGGGGGAUUUCUCUGUCUUGGCUUCAAGAGUCUGGCACUGUAAGCUACACUCGUCAUCCAUUUUUGGCCAUUUCAUGUGUGGUUUCCCUUUAGAUGUUGUAAUUUUGACAGAUUAAAAUGUUUCCUCAUUUAUUCCUGUUUUAUACAUCCACAUGGCUACACAGAUAACACUGAACACACAAUUUAAAAAGUAAUGAGAACAAAUCUUUUUUUAUUUUAUUUCUCAAACUGGCAAAAAAACCCCCAACAACAUCCAGAUAAUUCUCAACACGUCAUGAAGCUUCCAGCUUUUUCAUGAGCUGUUAACGGCACGCAUAAGCAAAAGUUACUAUGUUCACUUCAAAGUUGUACACUGACAAAAGCAGUUUAUAUAUAUAUAUGUGUGUAAAAUGCAGAAAAAUGAACCACAGUGACCGCCUUAACCUGCAUUGCUGUGUUUUUAAAGAAGGCACAAGUGGUAAUUCCCAUCUUACAUGUUUGGCACCAUUUACCGAAAUAAAACAGAUUUCACUUAACUCCCAGUAAAACAACAACAAAAACAGCAAAUUCAA